ACUCAACAUUAAUUUGUUUAAAAAGGGUGAGUUUAGAUUGUAAAAGCAGGCCUUCUCGAUAAAGGAUCCUUGAUCAGUCUGGUAACCCUAAACCUGUUUUCUGGAGUUU
rnacentral:sRNA from 19 species